ensembl:misc_RNA Metazoa_SRP Metazoan signal recognition particle RNA
GCCAGUGUGGUGGCACGUGCCUGUAGUCCUAGCUACUCUGGAGGCUGAGGCUGGAGGAUGGCUUGAGUCCAGGAGUUCUGGGCUGUUGUGCGCUAUGCCGAUUGGGUGUCCACACUAAGUUCUGCAUCAAUAUGGUGACCUCCCGGGUCCCCCAAGGAGGGGUGGACCAGCCCAGGUCGGAAAUGGAGCAGGUCAAAACUUCUGUCCUGAUCAGUAGUGGGAUCAUGCAUGUGAAUAGCCACUGCACUCCAGCCUGGGAAACAUAGUGAGACCCCAUCUCUU